UGGGGAAUAUUGCACAAUGGGCGCAAGCCUGAUGCAGCCAUGCCGCGUGUAUGAAGAAGGCCUUCGGGUUGUAAAGUACUUUCAGCCGGGAGGAAGGUGGUAAGGUUAAUAACCUUAUCAAUUGACGUUACCGACAGAAGAAGCACCGGCUAACUCCGUGCCAGCAGCCGCGGUAAUACGGAGGGUGCAAGCGUUAAUCGGAAUUACUGGGCGUAAAGCGCACGCAGGCGGUUGAUUGAGUCAGAUGUGAAAUCCCCGGGCUCAACCUGGGAACUGCAUUCGAAACUGGCAGGCUAGAGUCUUGUAGAGGGGGGUAGAAUUCCAGGGGUAGCGGUGAAAUGCGUAGAGAUCUGGAGGAAUACCGGUGGCGAAGGCGGCCCCCUGGACAAAGACUGACGCUAGGUGCGAAAGCGUGGGGAGCAAACAGG
rnacentral:rRNA from 1 species